ACACACUGUACAGGGGUGAUUCUUUUUUUAACGGCUCUGUUUUGAUUUUGAAAACGAUACAUGUUAUCCAUAGUUAGGCGUGUAGCUGACAUGAUUGACAGGUUGACUGAAAGUUAGACUGAGACAGGAUUUACAACAUGGCGGCUGCUGCUGAUGAGCCUCCAGAGCCCCCUGCAGGAACAGAUGGCUGACGUCACUCAGGCUUCAAACAUUCAUAUUUACAGUCUGUG